rnacentral:RNase_P_RNA from 1 species
GCGGAUGGCCGGAUGACCGCGGCGGGCGACUGUCGAGGAAAGUCCGGACUCCAUGAAGUGACGGUGCCGGGUAACGCCCGGCCGGGGCAACCCGAGGGAAAGCGCCACAGAAAAGAAACCGCCCGAUCUUCGGACAGGGCAAGGGUGAAACGGUGGGGUAAGAGCCCACCGCGGACUUGGCAACAAGGACGGCAUGGCAAGCCCCACCGGGAGCAAUGCCAAAUAGGGGCCUCGUGCGGGGCCGGUCGCGGACCCUGGUCCGGGAUACCGUCCGCAAGGCGAUUUCAGCCCGAGAGGCCCGGGUUGGCAGCUAGAGCACGUCGGCAACGGCGGGCCGAGAGGAAUGGUCAUCCAACCCCGGAUCACGGUCCGGGGCGGACAGAAUCCGGCUUACAGGCCAUCCGCGCAU